GACUGAGCAAUUUACUAAAGGAAGAGGCUUAUUGAACUUACAAUUCCACCUAGCUGGGGAGGCCUCACAAUCAUGGCAUAAGGUGAAAGGCACAUCUCACAUGGUGGCAGACAAAGGAAGAGAGCUUGUGCAGGGAAACUCUUGUUAUUAAAGCCAUCACAUCUUGUGAGACUCUUUCACUAUCACAAGAACAGUACAGGGAAGACCUGCCCCCAUAAUUCAAUCACCUCCCACCAGGUUCCUUCCAUGACACGUGGGAAUUGUGGGGUAGUGUGGACUUACAAAUCCACAGAGACAAUGUAUCUGUCCUUGUUUCUCAUAAGAAAGAAAAGGAUUUAACAUUUAUUAAGUUCUUCCUUUGGGUCUGGUUGUUCUGUGUACAUUUUAAAAAUAUAUAGCCCACCAAGGUGGUUCAUGCCAGUACUCCUGUCUCAGCCUCCGCAGUAGCUGGGAUUAUAGGUACAUCACACUACGCCCAGCUAAUUAAAAAAAUAUAUAUAGUUUUUGUAGAGACAGAGUUUCUUUAUGUUGCCUAAGCUGGUCUUGAACUCCUGGCC
rnacentral:lncRNA from 1 species